rnacentral:SRP_RNA from 1 species
AUCAGACAUGGUGGUGCACCUAUAGUUUCAGCUACUCAGGAGGCUGAGCUGGGAGGAUCGCUCGAGCCCAAGAUCCCUGGGGUAUACUGGGCUAUGUCAGUCAUGUGCCCAUACUAGGUUCAGCAUCAGUAUGGUGACCUCUUGGGAAUGAGGAUUGCCAGGUUGCCUAAGGAGGGGUGAGCCAGCUCAAGUCAGAAACAGAGUAGGUCGAAACUCCCAUGCUGAUCAGCAGUGGAAUCGCCUUUGUGAAUAGCCACUGCUCUCCAACCUGAGCAACAUAGUGAGACUCUGGUUCU